rnacentral:lncRNA from 1 species
AAACGGCCAACUUGAGACACAAAGGAGGCGGCCAACAUGAAGUUGCAAAGGAGGCGGCCAACAUGAAGUUGCAAGGAGGCGACCAAACACGCGAUCGGAACCAGGAUGCGAAAACGGAAACGAUAUGAGGGAACAACGAUGGUGAGGACGGUGACGGCAACCUCGACGACAGUGAGGAAAGUGACGGCAACCUCAGCGAUGGUGGCAGCGCCGACAACGACAUCGUCCAAGGAGUGAGUUUUUUUCGUUUUUUUAUUUUACUUUCAAAAACAAAACUUAUUUUUAUAUUAGCUUACAUUUAUAUGACAAUAGAACUAUGUAAAAGAAAGAAAAUACCUUCUCUUCUUCUGGCUCGUUUCCUUUUGCUACUGCUUUUGCUUUCUCCUUUUUUUUGUUUAAGUAUUUUUUCUAUUCGUGUUUGAUUUCUCCUUCUUUGUAUGUUUUUUUAUCAGUGGUGUUCAUCUCAGAUCCCUCAUUUUCUUUGAAAUUUUAUAGGGUAUAUUUAUAGAGUUUUUUUUAUGUGUUUAGUUGAUUUCUUUGCCUGCCUUGGUCCUUCUCUAUCAACUUCUUGUUUGAUGUUUUGAUUUCUUUGCUCAUCAUCUGCGUUUUUUCUACACCUCUGAUGCAUUCAUGGUUUUGACUUAUUUGUUUUGAUCUGUUAUGUUGCUGAGCUUUAAUUUGUCCCUUAGUUUAUUUUUUAAACUCAAAAUUUUGUCUAUUUGUUCUGCACAAAGUGUACCAAGACUGACUUAAAAAAAAUGUUUUUAUGUUUCUCUAAUUAGUUACAAAGCAAAGGUCAAUGACACUGCAUCUGAAACAGAAAGGCAGCAACAAAACAGAGCCAAACACUGCAUCAGAAACCAAGAGGCA